GAUGAACGCUGGCGGCGUGCCUAAUACAUGCAAGUCGAGCGAACGGACGAGAAGCUUGCUUCUCUGAUGUUAGCGGCGGACGGGUGAGUAACACGUGGAUAACCUACCUAUAAGACUGGGAUAACUUCGGGAAACCGGAGCUAAUACCGGAUAAUAUUUUGAACCGCAUGGUUCAAAAGUGAAAGACGGUCUUGCUGUCACUUAUAGAUGGAUCCGCGCUGCAUUAGCUAGUUGGUAAGGUAACGGCUUACCGAGGCAACGAUGCAUAGCCGACCUGAGAGGGUGAUCGGCCACACUGGAACUGAGACGCGGUCCAGACUCCUACGGGAGGCAGCAGUAGGGAAUCUUCCGCAAUGGGCGAAAGCCUGACGGAGCAACGCCGCGUGAGUGAUGAAGGUCUUCGGAUCGUAAAACUCUGUUAUUAGGGAAGAACAUAUGUGUAAGUAACUGUGCACAUCUUGACGGUACCUAAUCAGAAAGCCACGGCUAACUACGUG
rnacentral:rRNA from 1 species